rnacentral:rRNA from 1 species
UACGGGGGGGUAAGCGUUGUUCGGAAUUACUGGGCGUAAAGGGCGCGUAGGCGGCCCUGUGCAAGUCAGUUGUGAAAUCUCCGAGCUUAACUCGGAACGGUCAACUGAUACUGCUCGGCUAGAGUGCGGGAAGGGGCAACUGGAAUUCUUGGUGUAGCGGUGAAAUGCGUAGAUAUCAAGAGGAACACCUGCGGCGAAGGCGGGUUGCUGGGCCGACACUGACGCUGAGGCGCGAAAGCUAGGGGAGCGAACGGG